UGCCAGCCGCCGCGGUAAUACGGAGGGUCCGAGCGUUGUCCGGAUUUAUUGGGUGUAAAGGGUGUGUAGGCGGGCUUGCAAGUCAGAGGUGAAAGCCUACGGCUCAACCGUAGAACUGCCUUUGAUACCGCAAGUCUUGAGUCCUGGAGAGGUUGUUAGAAUUCGUGGUGUAGCGGUGAAAUGCGUAGAUAUCACGAGGAAUACCGGUUACGAAGGUGGACAACUGGACAGGUACUGACGCUGAGGCACGAAAGCGUGGGGAGCAAACAGGAUUAGAUA
rnacentral:rRNA from 1 species